UCCGUAGGGUGCAAGCGUUGUCCGGAAUUAUUGGGCGUAAAGAGCUCGUAGGCGGUCUGUUGCGUCGGCUGUGAAAACCCGGGGCUCAACUCCGGGCCUGCAGCCGAUACGGGCAGACUAGAGUUCGGCAGGGGAGACUGGAAUUCCUGGUGUAGCGGUGAAAUGCGCAGAUAUCAGGAGGAACACCGGUGGCGAAGGCGGGUCUCUGGGCCGAUACUGACGCUGAGGAGCGAAAGCGUGGGGAGCGAACAGG
rnacentral:rRNA from 1 species